ACCGUCGACUGUGAAGCGUCGCGCGACCGCGCCGCCACUACCACACGACAUCUCACACCAACAACACAACCUUGCUUCCUCAUUAACGGUUACAGUGCGUGUUUUGGUGUUACAAAACGAGUUUAUUGUGAACUGAACUAUUAUUUGGAGUGUUUCGCGAGUUACGUUCGAGUUGUUGUUUUUGGAUACUGGACAAGUGGUUGUGCUUCGAUGCCACAGUCUCGUGUUUAGCUGCGUUCUGCAGGCGAUGCUCGCAGGAGAGCAUGUGAUGCCGGCCUUUGACGCCCGGCGCCAUGCCCACGCCGCUGCAGCCCGGCGGCCCCGCUAGCGGCCCGCCCCCGGAGCGCAAGCGGCGCCGCAAACGCGACGAUCCACAGAGCUCAGCCGCGCUCGAACCAGACGACGACGACGGCGACAUGAGCCCGGAAGAGGAGCCGCGCAACGCUCCAGCGGCACCGGCGGCGCCAACGCCGGCGCCCUCAUCCGCCCCUGCGCCCACCUCACCGCCCGCCGCGCCCGAUGCCGUGGACCUCACCUCCCGCCGUGACUCCCCGCCCCUCUCCUCAGACGUCGAACGAUUUGAUGGCAAAAUUGUGUACAACCCCGACGGUUCCGCCUAUAUCAUCGAAGAUCCCGAAAUGUCAGAGGGCGAAACAAGCUUAUCGGAAUUAUCAAAAAUUGAACCUGGGUGCAUUGUCGAUAGCCGUGAUAGCAACGUCGUCGAAAAGCAGCUUGAAUUUCCUCAAAUAGCCAGUGCUUUCUAUGUUUCAAGAAACCCAUCGUUAUACGGUGCACUUUAUGGAAGACUGGCCGUUGAGAGAGCACGAGCCAGGCCUGACGCGCCUGUUAUGCACAGCUAUCGAGUGUUUAGUUUUAGAGGUGGAAAAGACACUCCUAGACCGUCAUCCCCGCUAACUGAAUGUCCAGUCAGCGUACCGGUCAAACCAAUAUUAAUGUGCUUUAUAUGUAAAUUGAGUUUCGGCUACGCCAAGUCUUUUGUGGCGCAUGCCCAAUCAGAUCACAGUUUAUCGUUACUAGACUCUGAAAGGGACGCUUUAUCGAGGGAAAAUGCAUCAGCAAUUAUUCAGUGCGUGGGGAAAGAUAAAGAACCACUAGUCUCAUUUUUAGAACCAGUAGGAGCUGCAGCCCCAUCUCGCAUUUCUGCUUCAGGUAGUCCUGCAAAUAUGUCAGAAUAUUCAAACCCUUCAAUAGACAAACGAGCAGAACAAAUGACGCCAGAUAGAGAAAAUGAUUCAAUGCUACCUAAUGGCACAUGUGAUGAUAGAAGGCCUAGUCCGAACACAUGGAGACCACCAAGGUCAAUAGCUGAAUCAACAAUGAUUCCUCAACAUUCCUUGAUCUCUGUAGCACAUCCUCAUACGAUUAACGCAUCAGUUCAACCACGAGCGAGUCCGAAUUCUUCUCCACCGUUCCAAGCCACCCCACCAGCUUUCCUAUCUGGGACAACGAUAGGAGUUUGUCCGGACCAUCUAGGCGGGCGUCCAUCUGGAGCCGAUUGUCCGAAGUGCGAAUUAAUUUUAAAUUCAGGACGCUUAGGCGGUCCAUUAGCAGGAAUGCACAGUCGGAAUUCCUGCAAAACAUUAAAAUGUCCAAAAUGCAACUGGCAUUACAAAUACCAAGAGACUUUAGAAAUUCAUAUGAAGGAGAAACAUCCCGAAGCCGAAACUAGCUGUAUCUACUGCAUAGCCGGACAACCACACCCGCGACUUGCUCGUGGUGAAACCUAUACGUGCGGAUACAAACCCUACAGAUGCGAAGUGUGCAAUUACUCUACAACUACCAAAGGUAAUCUCAGUAUACAUAUGCAAUCGGAUAAGCAUCUUAAUAAUAUGCAAGAACUACAAAACGGUGGUAACCCAGGCGAGGGAGCUUUACCACCUGCACCGCAACACACGCCUCCUGGUGGACACAAACCACCUCUGCCACACCAUUCACCUCUUGGCCAAAAACCAAAACCGACCUUUCGUUGCGACGUAUGCAACUAUGAAACUAAUGUGGCGCGCAACUUGAGAAUACACAUGACCUCCGAAAAACAUACGCAUAACAUGUUGGUUUUACAGCAAAAUGUUAAACAUAUGCAAACAUUAUCAGCGUUACAUCAUAGACAGCAGAGCCAACAACAGCUGGAGACUCUAUUACACUUUCAUGGAGGGGACGCGCCGCCUCCCAAUCCAGAAGCUGCCCUCGCUGACAUGGCUUAUAAUCAAGCGCUAAUGAUCCAACUGAUGACUGGAGGUCCUGGACCGUCUCCUCCAGAAUUAGGCGCACAUCUUGACGUCGGCUUAAAUCCUGAAGCCAUGGAACCCCCACCAGAACCAGCGGACCCGGAACCGGAAAGGACCUUCCAUUGUUGUAUUUGCAAUUGUUUCUCGACUGAUUCUUUGGAAGCAUUGGGACACCAUUUAGCCCAAGAUCGUACAAAAAUCCGAGAACAAGAGAUACUAGCACUAGUUGCGGGUCAUUAUGUCUGUAAGCUCUGCACUUACAAGACAAAUUUGAAAGCGAAUUUCCAGUUGCACUGCAAAACUGACAAGCACUUACAGCGGCUGCAACACGUAAAUCACGUUAAAGAAGGCGGCCCGAGAAACGAAUGGAAAUUGAAGUUCUGUGGGGCUGUGGGGACUGGUGGGGCCGGUGUCGGGGGAGUCCAGGUGCGAUGUUGUGCCUGCGACUACUACACUAACUCGGCCCACAAACUGCAACUCCACGCAGCCGGAGCUCGACACGAAGCCGCUGCUCUAUUGUUAAGACAUCUUCGGGAAUGCGCUUCGAGGAUGCCACGGGAACGACCUCGCGUCUACCGCUGUGCGCUAUGCGGCUUCAACGCUCCGCAUCGACUUCCGCUGCUACAGCACGUGCGUUCGGUGAAACAUCUACAGAUGGAACAAAUCCAUCAGCUCCAGCGACGUUCCGAAGGCAAAGACCCGACGCCUGACGUCGCUGAACUUUUCCAAGUCAUACCUCAGCCCCAGGAGUUGUCAUAUGAACAACAGGACAAUGACACCAAAGAGCCUAUUGAUCAGAAACCAGAACUGACCCAAGAACAGAAAAUGUUGCGAUUUCUCGAACAUCACCAUCAACAGCAGCAGCAACAGCAACUUCAAACACAACAACAAAAUCAACAAGCCUCAAAUGAUAGAGACGAAGAAAGGGAAACUCCAGGACCUCACGCGUGUCCUUACUGUAAUUACAGUUGCCCGAGUGAAGCUCGUCUACACGCUCAUGUCACUUCCGUGCACGCUGACACUGCACGUCAUUUUAUUUGUCCUUUAUGUCAAGAUGCCUUCAAGGAUCGACCUGCCCUAGAACGACAUGUAAUGCAAAUUCAUUCAGUCAAUUCAGAAGGCUUACAGAGGCUACUGCUUUUAGUAGAUCAAAGUCAUUGGCUAAAUGGUGGCACCCAGCAAAGGGAUGAAUCUCGACAGGGUGACGAAGAUAGAGAAAUAUCAUCUCCACGCUCAGAGGGCAGUGCUGAUGGAGAGAUGGAACGGUGCUCGACAUGCAGCCGAACAUUUAGAAAUGUAGAUGAACUAUGUCAGCAUCAAAAUGAAACAGGACAUUUAGAACUCAAGCAAACGCCUCAAGGGCCGGGCUACGUUUGCUGGAAGAAAGGAUGCAAUCGUUACUUUGAUGCAGCCCACGCUUUGCAGAAUCAUUUUCGGGAAGCUCACGCACGAAACUCGAUCGCUAACAUGUCAGUAUCAGAGAAACACGUUUACAAGUAUCGUUGUAACCAAUGCAGCUUGGCGUUUAAAACAGUGGAGAAACUACAAUUGCAUUCACAAUAUCAUGUCAUCAGAGAUGCGACAAAGUGUGUGCUGUGCGGCAGAAGUUUUCGAUCUGUACUCGCCCUUCAGAAACACGUCGAAACUUCACAUCCGGAACUAUCCGAGGAUGAGCUCACUGCUUUUAAACGUAGCUUAGCAUCGAAUCCCUUGAUGCAGGCCGGACAAGGCACCGCUCUCGAUGCUGCUACUGCAGAGCUUCUCCGUAAAGAAGCCCUAAGAACACCAGACGACGAUUUAGCUGAUAUGGAGGAUAGAGAUUCAAGUGCGACUGUGGCCGAUGAAUCCGGUCACAACGAUGCUGAAAACUCUGAUGAUUCAAUAAUUUACAAAGAUCAACAAUUUUUGGAAGACUACCUAAAUUCGCAAGCUAUGGCUGAAGAUUCAUACAAUGACCCGAACAGGAAAUAUAAGUGUCACCGAUGCAAAGUGGCAUUCACACGUCAGUCAUAUUUGACAGCUCACAACAAAACCUUACUGCACAGAAAAGGUGAAAAAUUAACUUAUCCAAUGGAAAAAUACCUUGAUCCAAACAGACCUUUUAAAUGCGAUGUAUGCAAAGAAUCGUUUACUCAAAAGAAUAUCUUAUUGGUACACUACAACAGCGUGAGCCAUCUACAUAAACUCAAACGGGCCAUGCAAGAACAACAGAAUAAUAAUAAUCCUCCCGUAUCGCCUGGAGCGGGUUCGGCGCCCUCUAAUCUAACAUUAACUCCCAAAAGUACUUCGAGUGAAGAAGACGAUCGUAAACGUUACAAAUGUAACAUUUGCAAAGUAGCAUAUACUCAAGGCAGUAAUCUCGACAUACAUAUGAGAUCAGUCUUACAUCAGACAAGGGCUGGCAAGUUGCAAGAAUUAGCCGCAACUGGACAAGUCGACUUGACACGACCAUUAGUAGAGCAACCAGAUAGAAAGGACCCCGCUAAAAUUUUACAAGACGUGCUGUCGCCAAAAAAUACAUCCCCUUCGUCUACGAGCAGUGGGGGACCGCGAUCUUCACCCCCCGCCCGGCCAGGUAGCCCUCGUUCCCCUCGCGCAGGUAACGCCGCGUGCGAUCGGUGCCACGCGUCAUUCCCGACUGCGGAGUUACUCGACGCACAUCGUGCGUCUUCAUGCCCGUUUAGCGAUGCGCGGGCGCAUUCGCCGUUAGGUGAGGCAGAAGCUGCGGCAUUGGACGAAAUGGUCGCAAAGGGCAAUCCGCCCAAACGUAACUCGCAAAUGUACAAACAACUCUUAGAAACCUUCGGAUUCGACCUCGUCAUGCAAUACAAUGAGAACCAGCGACGAAAGCUACAAGAGGAACGUGAAAUCGCACGCGCGCCAAGUCCGCCGCCACCGCCACCUGAAGAAAAGCCGCCGGACGGUGAAAAUAAAUCGACAUGUCAACAUUGUAAUAAAGAGUUUUCUAGUGUAUUCGUUUUAAAAACACAUUGUGAAGAAGUGCACAAGGAUAAAGUGCCAUUGGAGUUUUUGGAACAGUUCGCGGAACAAUUUAAGUCGGAAUAUGAAAGAAAAUCAGGUGCGCCAAACUCGCCGCGUGCUGCGUCUCCAGCACCGCAAGGUGAGAGGUCGCCGUCGCCGCGGGGCGAUAGUAGUGCGAAUUACAACGAGAACGGAAAUGCGGCUGGUGAAGCGCAGGCCGGUGCAUUGCUAGCUGCUCAAGUGCAAGAGAUGCAAGCAGCGCUGAACAUGAUCCAGUUACAACAGCAGCUGGGUACGAUACACCCGAUGGUCGCACAAAUGCUAUCUCUAGGGUUGCCACUAGGAUUGAAUGUCGGGGCAUUGGCUGCAAUGAACCUGCAACCACCUCUGGUACCAAUAAUGAUGCCACCUCCGCCCUUUGAUGCGAUGUCUUUCGCACACGACGCCCAACUCAAACAACAACAACUGAUCCAGCAACAACAGCAGGCAAAUGCUGCGGCUGGACAGAAGCGAGCCCGCACUCGUAUCACAGACGAACAACUCAAGAUUUUACGAGCACAUUUCGACAUAAAUAACUCACCAAGCGAUGAGGCCAUCGCUAAAAUGGCUCAACAAUCUGGACUUGCCACUAAGGUAAUCAAACACUGGUUCAGAAAUACAUUAUUCAAAGAACGACAACGUAAUAAAGAUUCUCCGUACAACUUCAAUAAUCCACCAUCUACUACGUUAAAUCUUGAAGAGUACGAGAAAACUGGUGAAGCAAAAGUUACACCUCUUGAUUCAUCUGCCAGCUCGGAUGAAGGCAAACCACCGCCUGAAAAAAAAGCAAAAUAUGAAGAAAAUAACUCUAUAAAUCAUCAGGAAGUAAAAUCUGAACCUUGCGAUGAACCUACAAUGGAAGAAAAAUUUAAUUCAUAUGAUGAUCGGCAUCAAGAGGAUAAAAGUUUCGUUUUUCCUCAAGCACCUUCUCAAAGCCCAGCUCCGAUAAGCCAUCCUGAUAAUCAUCAUAAUAUUUCUCAACCAUCGUCUCCAACACAUAUAUCGUUGAAUUCAUUAAUUCAAUCGCAACUUGAUUCAAUACCAGCAACGAGUAUACCGCAGCCACCACAUCCGUCAAUGUUGCCACCUAAGUUAAAUCCAAAUUUCACGUCCCCAAACUCCGCGCCCCCGAACGUCCUACCUUUGACCCCAAAUCGCAGUCUGAGCCCCGGCAGGGGUCCAGCCGAUUUCGGACUUUCCGGGGGCAACUCGAACGGAUCCAACAGCUCGGGGUCUUCUGGCAAACGCGCCAACAGAACUAGAUUCACUGAUUACCAGAUAAAAGUUCUUCAAGAAUUUUUUGAAAAUAAUGCAUAUCCCAAAGACGAUGAUUUAGAAUAUCUUUCUAAGUUGUUAGGACUGAGUCCGAGGGUCAUUGUUGUUUGGUUUCAAAAUGCUCGUCAAAAAGCAAGAAAAGUAUACGAGAAUCAACCUGCAGCGGAUCCGCCGGCAGGAGCAACAGAUGAUGCUAAUAGAUUUCAGCGCACUCCCGGUCUUAACUAUCAAUGUAAAAAGUGCCAACUAGUGUUUCAACGAUACUACGAACUAAUAAGACAUCAGAAAACGCAUUGUUUUAAAGAAGAAGACGCCAAACGAUCCGCGCAAGCUCAGGCUGCUGCAGCACAAGUAGCUGCAACAUUGAGUAGUGAAGACUCCAAUUCAAGCACCGUAGAACAUCAUAAUCCUCUUGUACCAGUUUCACCUGCACCCCCUCGAACUCCCACUCCAGCUGCGCCUAAUUACCCUGUAUCUCCAGCGCCACCAACUACUUUAACUCCUGUAACUCAGUUACCACAUCAAACUAGAGAAGAAAAAGAUGGAAAUUUUCAAUGUGAUAAAUGCAACCUGGUCUUCCCUCGAUUCGAUUUAUGGCGAGAGCAUCAACUGGUUCACAUAAUGAACCCAAAUUUAUUUCCUACUUAUCCGCCAGACUCCCCUUUUGGGAUCUUACAACAACAUGCUCAACUUCAACAGUUAAAUGCUUCGUUAAGCAAUGAGGAGGCACGACACCCUUUAGUCGCAGCACUAAAUCAACAAGUAGUGAAAAGAAAAUUUGAUGAAUUUGAGGAAACAGAUACUGGAGAGCAACCAAAAGACAAAAGAUUAAGAACUACCAUCUUGCCAGAACAGCUUGACUAUCUCUAUCAAAAAUAUCAAAUUGAAUCAAAUCCUUCAAGGAAAAUGCUUGAAAAUAUUGCACGUGAAGUGGGUUUAAAAAAAAGAGUGGUACAGGUCUGGUUUCAAAACACCAGAGCCCGGGAAAGAAAAGGGCAAUUCCGGGCUCAUGCCCAAGUUAUAAAUAAAAGAUGUCCAUUUUGUCCAGCUUUGUUUAAAGUGAAAAGCGCGUUAGAAAGCCAUUUAAGUACGAAGCAUGCUGAUCAGUGCACACGAGGCGAAAUUAACGUGGACGCACUACCAGACGAAGAACUUAGUACGGAGUCCACGCCAAGUUUUGGUUCUCAACAAAGUGACAGGCAGCAAAAUUUUUCCCAAGCGGGGGCUCCCAUGUUGCCCCCUAUUUUCCCGCCUUUUCAUUCAGACAUGGAGAAAUUUAUCAAACAGUACAGUGAAGAAUCGAUGAAACGUUACGUGAGCGAAUUACAAGCUCAUGCCGCUGCCCAACAGAACGGUGGAAGCAACGACUCCUCCGAUAGACGCCCAGAACAUGGAAAAUCAGAGAUCCCUUUAGAUCUCAGUAAGCCUGUGGAUUUAUCACGACCUGGGUCCGACGCAGAUGAGCGUUCAGAUACUGCCUCCGAAACAAUGGAAUUCUAUGAAGAAGACGAACCCUCAUCGCCUAUCAUGGCCGGUCAACCACAAACACCUCGUCCACCCGGUAAACGAUAUCGCACUCAGAUGUCAUCCUUACAAGUGAAAAUCAUGAAGUCACUGUUCACGGAUUACAAAACGCCGACGAUGGCCGAGUGUGAGGCGUUAGGUCGCGAAAUAGGCUUACCAAAACGAGUGGUACAAGUUUGGUUUCAAAACGCACGUGCCAAAGAAAAAAAGGCGCGCCUAGCUGCUGGAUUGGCGGAAGUAUCUGAUGCACCUCCCCCGGAAGAAUGUCGCGUGUGUGAUUUUAAAUAUAGCCACAAGUAUUCGGUGCAAGAUCACGUGUUUACACGGGGUCACAUCGCGGCGGUACGAGCGCGAUUGGAAAGCGGCGCCAGUGUCGGUGACGACAGCACGUUCGCACUGAUGCAAAUGGCAGCGCGUCUUGACAGCGGCAUGGGCGGAGAGCUUCACAACGCGUUCCUGCGGCCGCAACUCGCCGGCAACGCAUAAGUAAGUUCCAGUGGUCGUCGCUACAACAACUACAUCAAUGCAUUUAAAAAGAAAAUUAAAAUUAGAUCGAAUGGUCAUCCCAUUGCUGCUCAGCCUCAACCAC
rnacentral:misc_RNA from 1 species